rnacentral:rRNA from 1 species
AUUGAACGCUGGCGGCAGGCCUAACACAUGCAAGUCGAGCGAGCGGCGGACGGGUGAGUAAUGUAUGGGGAUCUGGCCGAUAGAGGGGGAUAACUACUGGAAACGGUAGCUAAUACCGCAUACUAUCGGAUGAGCCCAUAUGGGAUUAGCUAGUUGGUGGGGUAAAGGCUCACCUAGGCGACGAUCUCUAGCUGGUCUGAGAGGAUGAACACCCACACUGGGCCUAGGACACGGCCCAGACCCCUACGGGAGGCAGCAGGGGGGAAUAUUGCACUAUGGGCGCAAGCCUGAUGCACCCAGGCCGCGGAUAUGAAGAAGCCCUCAGGGUUGUAAGUUACUUCCAUCGGGGAGGCGUUACCCGCAGAGGAAGCACCGGCUAACUCCUUGCCAGCAGCCGCGUAAUAC